UCUGAUACCGUAUCCGUAUCCGAAUACUUAAAUCGUAUAUUUAUGAUGUCGACAUCUAAUCCUAUCUUAUCCAAAAUGGUUGACAUUAUCCGUAUUCGAAUCCGAAUCCGACCAGAAAUAUAAAAACAAAUAUGGUAUCGGUGAUAUCCGUUCAUAUCCGAUCCGUUUUCAUCCGUACCUACAUGGAAUGUAUUAUGUAAAAUCUCAUGGUCACUACAAAACACUUUUUAAUAUUUGUAAAGUAGUUGUGUUGUACCUAUGCUCAUUAUUAAUCCAUGUUUUAUCCAUACACCUUUACAGGAAGGUCACACCACGCUCAGAUUAAAUCUUUUUGGAGAGAAUACAACCACACAACAUAAGCUUUAAAAAAAAGCAAUGUGACAUCAAGUGAAUGGAACUCGAGAAACAAAAUCAUACUGUUGCGCAAAGCUCCGACAUCCAACAACUAUGAAUAUUGUAGUUCUACAAAAAAAGUUCAAACUUCUUGCAGCUACAGGUUUUGCUCCUGCGAAGGUAGUAUGCAUCAGAUAUAAAUUAUCAAGAAAUAGAGACAACAGGGCAACAGGCCAACAGUCCUAGUGUUGUAGUGUUUGCUUAAUAAAUACAGAUUAGUUUCUUCCUAUAUGGCCAUCAAACUGAACAUAUACAGUCCCCUGCAUUCUCUUGUUCCUUACUAUUUAUGAUCAUUGUACAUGGUCACCAGUACAUACACCCUGUACCCUAUGUGUAACAGGUACCAAGAGAUAACAUAAAGAAUUUUGCUAAUACCAUGAAAAUACAGAAAUAAAAGGAAACUACAUAAGGAUGGAAGGAAUAUAAUAGAAUCACAAACAAGAAAGGAUAGGCUACAGACCUGAAGAACCCAGAUGCUCACAAGUGUCUCCAAGCAAAACAAGGCAAAUCUGAUCAGACAAAGUAAAGAUCUGAAAGGGAAAAUGAUUUAAUGUCAGAUUUUUCACUUUUUACCUUCUAAAUUGAAAUGAAAACACAUUCCAUAAUAAAAGCAACAAAUCGUGGCUUACAGUUUAACAAGAUGCAAACUCAAACCAAAUGAAGCAAAAAAGGACAUACCAUGGCUGUGCAGUGAAGACUCGAGGGAGGGGAUGGUCUGAAGGUGGCGUCCUGGUGCCGGCAGACGGCCUGGCAGGUCUGGGUGCCCUGUGCCCUGGUCGUGCGGCCGUUGAGGGGACUGGUUUGUGCCCCUUCGCCCUGCACCCCCUGCCGUGUCCGUUCGCCCCGCGCCUCGCACCCCCUGUUGUGCCCCUUCGCGGCUUCAGUGGAGGGGACUGGCUGAGGAGAUUGGCUAUGGAGGAGAUCGUCUGGCUGAGGGUGUAGAUCCUCGCUCGUGGAGGGAAUUGGCUGGGCUGCAGGACUGGGCUGGGCGGUGGUGGCUUAGGAGCUCAGUUGAGGAUAGGGUUUGGCCUGAGCCCUGCUAGUGGGAUUUGGGGGCAAUUUGUGUGGCGUGGGACUUGGUGAGAGGAGGGAAUCCACGGUGGAUUGGAGUUUUCGUGGAGGC
rnacentral:lncRNA from 1 species